rnacentral:rRNA from 1 species
CCCCUAGAUGUUCUGGGCCGCACGCGCGCUACACUGAACAGUUCAACAAGUCUUAACCUUGGCCGAUAGGUCUGGGUAAUCUUUGAACGCUGUUCGUGAUUGGGAUAGACCUUUGCAAUUAUGGGUCUUCAACGAGGAAUUCCUAGUAAACGCAAGUCAUCAGCUUGCAUUGAUUACGUCCCUGCCCUUUGUACACACCGCCCGUCGCACCUACCGAUUGAAUGGUCCGGUGAAAUCUCGGGACGGCGGCUCGGUCGCUUGCGUCCGACUGCUGAAACUUGAUUAAACCAUAUCAUUUAGAGGAAGGUGAANUCGUAACA